rnacentral:tRNA from 1 species
GCACCUAUAGCUCAGUGGUAGAGCGUUCCACUCGUAUUGGUGUACGAUCUAUGGAAAGGUCCGCGGUUCGAUCCCGCGUCGGUGCA